GGUUAAGCGACUAAGCGUACACGGUGGAUGCCCUGGCAGUCAGAGGCGAUGAAGGACGUGCUAAUCUGCGAAAAGCGUCGGUAAGGUGAUAUGAACCGUUAUAACCGGCGAUGUCCGAAUGGGGAAACCCAGUGCAAUUCGUUGCACUAUCGUUAACUGAAUACAUAGGUUAACGAGGCGAACCGGGGGAACUGAAACAUCUAAGUACCCCGAGGAAAAGAAAUCAACCGAGAUUCCCCCAGUAGCGGCGAGCGAACGGGGAGCAGCCCAGAGUCUGAAUCAGCUUGUGUGUUAGUGGAACGGUCUGGAAAGUCCGACGGUACAGGGUGAUAGUCCCGUACACCAAAAUGCACAGGCUGUGAACUCGAAGAGUAGGGCGGGACACGUGGUAUCCUGUCUGAAUAUGGGGGGACCAUCCUCCAAGGCUAAAUACUCCUGACUGACCGAUAGUGAACCAGUACCGUGAGGGAAAGGCGAAAAGAACCCCGGCGAGGGGAGUGAAAAAGAACCUGAAACCGUGUACGUACAAGCAGUGGGAGCACCUUCGGGUGUGACUGCGUACCUUUUGUAUAAUGGGUCAGCGACUUAUAUUCUGUAGCAAGGUUAACCGUAUAGGGGAGCCGCAGGGAAACCGAGUCUUAACUGGGCGUUAAGUUGCAGGGUAUAGACCCGAAACCCGGUGAUCUAGCCAUGGGCAGGUUGAAGGUUGGGUAACACUAACUGGAGGACCGAACCGACUAAUGUUGAAAAAUUAGCGGAUGACUUGUGGCUGGGGGUGAAAGGCCAAUCAAACCGGGAGAUAGCUGGUUCUCCCCGAAAGCUAUUUAGGUAGCGCCUCGUGAAUUCAUCUUCGGGGGUAGAGCACUGUUUCGGCUAGGGGGUCAUCCCGACUUACCAACCCGAUGCAAACUACGAAUACCGAAGAAUGUUAUCACGGGAGACACACGGCGGGUGCUAACGUCCGUCGUGAAGAGGGAAACAACCCAGACCGCCAGCUAAGGUCCCAAAGUCAUGGUUAAGUGGGAAACGAUGUGGGAAGGCACAGACAGCCAGGAUGUUGGCUUAGAAGCAGCCAUCAUUUAAAGAAAGCGUAAUAGCUCACUGGUCGAGUCGGCCUGCGCGGAAGAUGUAACGGGGCUAAACCAUGCACCGAAGCUGCGGCAGCGACACUAUGUGUUGUUGGGUAGGGGAGCGUUCUGUAAGCCUGCGAAGGUGACCUGUGAGGGUUGCUGGAGGUAUCAGAAGUGCGAAUGCUGACAUAAGUAACGAUAAAGCGGGUGAAAAGCCCGCUCGCCGGAAGACCAAGGGUUCCUGUCCAACGUUAAUCGGGGCAGGGUGAGUCGACCCCUAAGGCGAGGCCGAAAGGCGUAGUCGAUGGGAAACAGGUUAAUAUUCCUGUACUUGGUGUUACUGCGAAGGGGGGACGGAGAAGGCUAUGUUAGCCGGGCGACGGUUGUCCCGGUUUAAGCAUGUAGGCUGGUUGUCCAGGCAAAUCCGGAUAAUCAAGGCUGAGGUGUGAUGACGAGGCACUACGGUGCUGAAGUAACAAAUGCCCUGCUUCCAGGAAAAGCCUCUAAGCAUCAGGUAACAUCAAAUCGUACCCCAAACCGACACAGGUGGUCAGGUAGAGAAUACCAAGGCGCUUGAGAGAACUCGGGUGAAGGAACUAGGCAAAAUGGUGCCGUAACUUCGGGAGAAGGCACGCUGGUGUGUAGGUGAAGCCCCGCGGGUGGAGCUGAGACCAGUCGAAGAUACCAGCUGGCUGCAACUGUUUAUUAAAAACACAGCACUGUGCAAACACGAAAGUGGACGUAUACGGUGUGACGCCUGCCCGGUGCCGGAAGGUUAAUUGAUGGGGUUAUCCGUAAGGAGAAGCUCUUGAUCGAAGCCCCGGUAAACGGCGGCCGUAACUAUAACGGUCCUAAGGUAGCGAAAUUCCUUGUCGGGUAAGUUCCGACCUGCACGAAUGGCGUAAUGAUGGCCAGGCUGUCUCCACCCGAGACUCAGUGAAAUUGAACUCGCUGUGAAGAUGCAGUGUACCCGCGGCAAGACGGAAAGACCCCGUGAACCUUUACUAUAGCUUGACACUGAACAUUGAGCCUUGAUGUGUAGGAUAGGUGGGAGGCUUUGAAGCGUGGACGCCAGUCUGCGUGGAGCCAACCUUGAAAUACCACCCUUUAAUGUUUGAUGUUCUAACGUUGGCCCCUGACCGGGGUUGCGGACAGUGUCUGGUGGGUAGUUUGACUGGGGCGGUCUCCUCCCAAAGCGUAACGGAGGAGCACGAAGGUUAGCUAAUCCUGGUCGGACAUCAGGAGGUUAGUGCAAUGGCAUAAGCUAGCUUGACUGCGAGCGUGACGGCGCGAGCAGGUGCGAAAGCAGGUCAUAGUGAUCCGGUGGUUCUGAAUGGAAGGGCCAUCGCUCAACGGAUAAAAGGUACUCCGGGGAUAACAGGCUGAUACCGCCCAAGAGUUCAUAUCGACGGCGGUGUUUGGCACCUCGAUGUCGGCUCAUCACAUCCUGGGGCUGAAGUAGGUCCCAAGGGUAUGGCUGUUCGCCAUUUAAAGUGGUACGCGAGCUGGGUUUAGAACGUCGUGAGACAGUUCGGUCCCUAUCUGCCGUGGGCGCUGGAGAAUUGAGGGGGGCUGCUCCUAGUACGAGAGGACCGGAGUGGACGCAUCACUGGUGUUCGGGUUGUCAUGCCAAUGGCACUGCCCGGUAGCUAAAUGCGGAAGAGAUAAGUGCUGAAAGCAUCUAAGCACGAAACUUGCCCCGAGAUGAGUUCUCCCUGAGACUAUAAGUCUCCUGAAGGAACGUUAAAGACGAUGACGUUGAUAGGCCGGGUGUGUAAGCGCAGCGAUGCGUUGAGCUAACCGGUACUAAUGAACCGUGAGGCUUAACCUU
rnacentral:rRNA from 1 species